AGAGAGAGAGAGAGAGAGAAAGACUAAAGAACUAAAAAGAAGAAGAAGAAGAAGAAAAGGAUAGACUGAGGCUUACGAAAAUUUCGAAGAGGACGACUUGAUAAUGCAUCAGAACUCGUUGCACCUGUGGCGAGUACAUACUGGUUCGGGCUAACUCCUCUUGCGCUUACUUUCUUAGCGUAUGCAUUAAACGCACGUACAUCAGCCUGGGGCCAACAGCUUCUCUCUUUCUCUCUCUUCGGUUCGGUUCGGUUCGGUUCGGGCUCGGACUUGCUUGCACCGGCAAUCACGAUAAUCGUGAAGUUUAUCGAGAAGAAGCUUGGCUGUGAUUAACGAGGAUCGCUUUAAAUCUUCUGAGGGAAGGAAGACUACGUGAUAUGGUUGUGAUGGUCAAUUUGAUUUGGAUGUAAUAUGUGAAGUUAAAGAAGAAGAAAACAAGAAAAAAGAAAGAAAGAAAGAAAGAAAGAAAGAAAUAGAGAGAAGAUCGUCAGAAAGGAUUAUUUUCUUCAUGAUUUCUGAUCCGGUGCCAAACGGCGUUAAUGGAACAAGACCGGCAGCCGUCCGGUUUCAGUGCCGCUAUUGCGCGCGUGCACGCGCGCGCUCUUGGAAUAACCCUUCAAAAUACUUUGGCGUAAAUUUAUCAGUGACGUCCGUCGAGUUGAAAAAUAUACCUACCUUCUCGUCUCUGCCAUUUCUCGCUACUGCUUUUGCCUCCAAGACAACGUUAUGAUACUGGAUUCGUCAAAAUUAAAUGAAAAAAAUAAGAAAGACAAGAGAAAAGAAAAGAAAAAAAAAAAAAAGAACAAGAAGAAGAAGGUGGAAGCAGAUUGAUUACGCAAUAGUUAACUCAUAGAUCAAACAGAUUUAUUAAACACACGAACGCACAUUUACAAAUGGUAAUUCACGAUCGAUAUGACUUGGACACCUUAACAAAACUAAAAUAAUAUCGUAGUUAUCGCAUUAUGUGUGAAGAACAAGAGCUCUUUAAGAUAAAAAAGAAUAGAGAGAGAAAGAAAAUAAUAUGUUAUUAUGAAGGUAUAAUUAAGACCAUUAAUCGUUGCGAUCUCAAGUCGUCGCAAUGUUGCACCAGAACAACCCAUGAACCCUUAAAAAAAAGAAGAAAGAAGAAGAAAAAAGAACGAAAAAAAAAGAAAUAAAUAGGAAGAAGAGAUAAAAGGGUGAGAGUGAGAAAGGGGGAGGAUAAUGGCGACGAGGUCGAAGAGGAAAAAACGCAUCUCAACGAACGCGUUUCCGAUUCUCCCGUCGUUGGAAUGUUAGAUCGAAGACAAAGUUACGCAACACAUCCGAAUUCUUUUCGAGCAAGGUCACAGAUCUAGAACGUAGAGAAGAGGGCCUUUGACUUCUACGUGAAUAUCUUCGAAACAAAAAGAUACGGGAGAGUGUGAAUGUGAAUGAUAAAAAAAGCAAAAAAAAAAAAGAAAAAAGGAAAACGACGAAAAAAAGAUAGAAUAGAAAGAAUUGAUCUAAUCGAGGAAUCGAAUGAUCUCCAUCGAUCUCCAUUUAAAAACAAUGAAUAGAAUCUCAUCCAUUAAGAAAAAGGUGGUACUAAAUACCCAAAGAUAAAGAUUAGUAGAACGUAAAGAUAAGUCCGAGAAACAUCAACGAUCAAGAGAGAUGGACAGAAAUAAAAAUCAAGAAAGAAAGAGAGUAAGAGAGAGAGAUAACAAGGUGAGAAAUAAGAAGGAGAGAAUAAAAGGAUAAAAGUAGUGGGAUAAGAAGACAGGGAAAAGAUGUAUCUCACAGAGAGGUAUACUACAAGGCGUGUCUUGGUUGGGUAGUAUGUUGGCUACUCAACUCAAAGUAAAGGCGAUUACGUCAAAUCAAGACUCCAUACGAGAGGAUUUUUAACCCUAACGCCCUUUUCUCUUCUUCCUCUUUGCAAAGUAUACAGAUACAACUUUUACAUACAUUGUAACUACUGUUGAGAUCCCAUUGAAACGUACAUAGGAUGCAAGAAGAAACGAUCUUGAGACCUGGCUAAAGGUCAUCUUUCGUCGACCGAAGGCAAAGAAUUAUAAAAAAUAAGAAAGACGACGAAGACGCGAUAACAAAUCAUCAUUUCCAUCCGUUGUAACAUAAUAUUAUGGGACGUAGAAGGAUCUGUAAUCUUCAGAACGAUCACCUCUCAAACAGGAUGAAAUAACAAAUAUCUCUCGAUGAUUAACUAUCUUUCAGCGGGACACUUAAAUUACAUCCAUUUUCUUCGAGAAUAAUAAUGACAAUAAUAGUAACGACAACAAUAAUAACAAUAAUAAUAAUAAUAAUAAGGAUAAGUAAAUCGCCUGCAGUAUUACCUACAAACAAACAAACUAGAACUCGCAUUAUUGUACCUUGUAAAGAAAUUACACAUUGAGUAUCUGGUUUCUUGAAAUCUUAAGCUAGAAGGGUUUACAAAAGUAAACAAAAAAGGAUACGAGAAGGAUGUAAUAAAGUUACUGAAUAAAGGAUAUUAUCGUGCAUAUAUCGAUUGAAAUAUAAGGAAGGAUCGAAGCUUAUAUCCUUUCUCUGAAGUUAGAGAGAAAAGGCCUGAAGGCAAGAAGAAGAAGAAAAAGAAAAAGAAAGAAGAAGAAGAAAAGAAAAGGAAAAAGAAGUCGAAGAAGAAGAAAAAGAAAAAAAAAAAAGGAAAAGGAGUCGAAGAAGUUUUUGUCACGAAUUGGAUGAAGAAAAUAAGAAAUAUAAAGGGAGAGUGUUGCAUCAAGAGGACCUUGACAUCGAGUGGUUAUCAGCUUGCUUUCUUCAACACUACGCCAUUCUCCUCCUCCUCCACCUCCACGUCCACCUCUUUCUCCUCUUUAGAGAAGAAACGACGCUUUGGAGUAGCCACACGUGCACGUUCGCGUCGAAAGUCGAUGCACACACGUUGCAUCGUACUACGCUUACCAUACUGUACCAUUACUACACCCUGAAUCUUGUGAUGAGGAGGUGAGGGAGGAGAGGAAGAAAAAGAGGAGGAGUUCAGAAAGAGAGAGAGAGAGAUGAACAAACUGGAAGAAGAAGAAAUGGUGGGGGGGAAAGGGAGAGAGCGGUUUUGCCCCUUUUGCCAGUUCUGCCUUUUUUUCUCGUCCUCUUCUUUCCUCAUCCACCAUCCUCUCCUCUUCCUCCCCCUCCCCCUCCCCUUCUCCUCCUCCUUCUCCUCCUCUUCUUCUUCCUCCUACUCCUCACACUCUUCUUCGCCAUCCUUGCUGUAAGACAGGGACGGACCGACAAGAAUGACAAGAAAGAAAUUUUACAUAUUUCUUUGCUUAAAUUUAAUUUGAUAUUUUCUAAUAUAUAUUAUAUCAUACGUCAUUAUAUAAUCUAUAUCUACAGAGAUAGAAAGAAGAAAAAAAGAAGAAUUUGUAAAACGGUAAAUCUACUGGUCUCUACUUUCCAUUACUUGAGUCGUCCUGACCGCGUCACCUCCUUCUAGAGAACCACAAAGUCAUCCCAGCCCAGUUGUUGUAUUCCAAGUCUCAUCUUGACACUUCUCCCUUUCUAUACCAUGGAGGAUUUAUCAUCACGCAUUAUCGAUAACGAUUAUAACGUGCCUCUUUAUAGAACGAUAGGAAUUAUUUGCGAAGAACACAAAGAUGGCAUAUAUGUACAUAUGUCAAUAUUUUAAAUAUAUUAUAUAGGAUGGAACUGAGAAACAUAUUAUAUAAAUAUAUUAUGCGUUACAUAUAUAUAUCAUUAUUUUAAUAUUAUAUACAAUACAAGAUGGAUCAAAUAAAACUAGAUACAGUAUUAAUAGCUACAAAGAUGACACAAAUAUAUUACACAGAACAUUUGUUUUAUAUAUAUAUAUAUAUAUAUAUAUAUAUAUAUAUUCGUCUGAUGAAAAUGAAGAUAACUAAAAUGACACCGUUGUAGCUGUUAUACGUUUAACGUUCAUGAAGAUCCGUUACACUUGACUCUACUUUUCAUUGGCUUCUUCUCCAUAUCCCUCUUCUACAUAGAACGAAUUUAACUUGAACGACAGGCAGGUGACGAGUCGAAUUACGGAAGUCAUUGAAGUACUGUGGUUAUGAAUGUACAAGUUACACGUCUCUAGAAAGAGAAAGAGAGAAAUGGAAGAGGUGCCACAACCACAUCCUUCGUUACACCCGGCUUUGCGUUUUCUUCGCUACACGAGAGGAGAUUUCUUUUGAUAUUCUCCUUUUUAUCUCCGAUUUUAUCCUCUAUGGAUAUCUCCACUACUAAACGAUUUGAUGAAAGCAAAAUUGAUUGAUAUGGAGAGGAUCUCAAUUUCAUUUAUUAUUAAAUUUUUCAAGAGAUGAUUUGGAAAUAAGACAAAAUUUAUAGAAACACGAUGUGAUGCACUGCUAUGAGGAUGAAGAAUAAUAGAAAAAAAAAGAAAAGAUAAAACCAAAAGAAAACAAAAAAUAAACAAAAACGUUGGGCCAAAGUUUCAAUCGGAUAAGGACCGAACGAAAUAAGUUCAACACUUCGUAUCUCGCGUUGCUUGAGCGAGAUCAAUUACAUGGGUCGUUCCUUUUCUUCAGGUCCGAUCGGUGUAUGUAUCUGCUUCUUGCUUGCUAGCUCUGCGUCCCUCGUCUUCGAUCGAACUUGAAGUCGAACUCGUUCUCGACAAGAGAGUAACAUGAAGAUGCGAAGUAACCGGUGCUUCUUCGAUACGUUUGCAUUGAAUAAAAACGAAAAGAAAUAGAAACAGAAAAAAAAAAAACGAAAAAGAAGGAAAAGAACCAGGAAGAUGACUGAUGAAAAAAUAAUCGAAAAAAAAAAAACCGAUGCAACAGUAGAAGAUUAAAGAACGUCGUUAGAACGUCAGUCUCCUAACUGACCUUGAAAAUGUGAAGAACGUCAAAAUAGUUAAACAAAAAAUUCUAAGGAACAAAAUUGAAACUUGGAUACAGAAAUGUCGAUUAAAGAUCAAUAAAAGUGAUUAGUCUAACAAGAAAAAAAAAAAAAAAAGAAAGAAAGAAAGAAAAGGAAAAGAAAAGGAGAUACAGAAACAGAAACAAACGUGGCACAACACAGCUGAAUUUGCUUUGGGCCCUGAUGGUGUGUAUAGUACCAAGGCAAGAUCGUGAGCAUCGAACAGGAGAAGAGCUAGGGGAACCGGUUUAAUCUUAUAAAUUUGCGAUCGAAUGAUCUCUUAAGAAAGAAAGAGAAAGAGAAGAUUUCGCACACUCACCUAGUUUUCUACCCCCUUUAGCCUGCUGGUCCCAUCUUCCUUUCGCGUUACCAUUUACGGCUUCACUGAAUCCACGUGGUUAUCGUGUUUUCCUUUUCUCAGUCUUUCUCUCUCUCUCUCUCUCUCUCUCUCUGUCUGUCUGUCUCUCUGUCUCUCAUUCUUUUCGAAUCUCUCUUUCUCUUUCUUACUUCUUGAGUACUCGACACGGAGUCUUCGAAGUUACCAAGCGAUUCUCGAGUACGAGUUAACCACCUCGUUUCACCACUAGACUUUUCUUCUCUCUCUCUUUCUCUUUCUCUCUGUAUGUAUGUUCUCUCUGUAUGUCUGUCUCUGUCUAUCCCUCUCUCUCUCUCUCUCUCUUUUUUUGCUUUUUAUUUCUUCCUUUCUUUAUUUCCUUUCUCUCCACCCGCCAAAUCGUAAAUUCAGGCGACUCGUAAAUUGUUACUCCUUUUUCCCUCUACCUACCUUUCGUUUCCUCUCAAAUACCCCUCUUCUUGCCUUCUUAAAAGAGAAAGAGAAAGAGAAAGAGAGAGAUGAAACAUAGAAGUCAUGAGGUUUUGUGGUAUCACUGUGGUAUACAUAUUUAUGCAUUGUAUUUAUCACAUUGCAUUUAACUCUAAUUUCUUGCAUAUUCUCUACCUUAUGAAAUCUUUACCUUUCUUCUUCUGUGUGUGUGUGUGUGUAUAAAUAUAUAUUAUUAUAUAUAUGUCAGAUUAAAUAAUCUAAUCAGAACGUUCACAGUGAACAUUUCUAUUCAUUAUACUCUAUCUCUUGCAUCCUUUUAGAGGGUACGAGUCAAUAUCAAUGAAGUUGUAAGCAGUCUACUACCUCUUAUCUAUUCAAAGAUAUCAAGACUUUGAGAAUAUAAGGAAAGAGAAAGAAGGAAGAUAGAGAUUACAAGAAGAGAAUAUUGGGGGAGGAUGGACCAUUUAAAAUUCUAAUUUCCAUAAAAUAAAAACAUCGAUAAGUGUUUAAAA